rnacentral:rRNA from 1 species
CGUGUAGGUGGUCGAGUAAGUCGAAUGUGAAAGCCCCGGGCUCAACCCGGGAAGUGCAUCCGAAACUGCUCGACUAGAGUCCCGGAGAGGAAGGCAGAAUUCCCAAUGUAGGGGUGAAAUCCGUAGAUAUUGGGAGGAAUACCGGUGGCGAAGGCGGCCUUCUGGACGGUGACUGACACUCAGACGCGAAAGCGUGGGGAGCAAACAGGAUUAGAUACCCUGGUAGUCCACGCUGUAAACGUUGCGAACUAGGUGUCGGGGGUAUUCACCCCUCCGGUGCCGAAGCUAACGUCUUAAGUUCGCCGCCUGGGAAGUACGGCCGCAAGGCUAAA